AUCAAACUUAAUACGACAAAAGGGGCAUGUGUAUACCUAUGUUUCAUGUCAUAGUGAUCCAAUGCCAGAUAGGGAAUUUCAAUUGUAGCCAGGGGAGUCACUGAAACCAAUGGAGAAGCAUAGCAAAUAAACCAAAAAUAUGUCAAUUAAAUAGCAUGCUAAAUGAGACACGACCACACAGGUCUGCUCUAACAAAUUAUGGAGUAGCAUUCUUCCGUGGCCUGUUUUUUUUUUUUAAUCAGUUGUAUGCUGUGAGUUCCGUUUCAACCGAGUAAUUUGAGUUCAAAUGAAUGUGUAUCGUCUGGUCCAUGUAGUGACCCUGACAGGAAACGUGUCCCCUCCUCACUAUCUUCUCCAUCGCUUCAUAUGUCUACUUGUAAAUGUCUCUCUCUACCCUUUCUCUUGCACGGCUCUGUGUCUCUCUCUGUAACAUGGCGGUUCAUUUCUUUUUUAACUCGUACUUCAUGCAUACCAGACUGUCGUGCUCUUGUUGUCUUGUCACUGCCGCUUCAUGGGUUGCCGCCGCUGGCGUUUUCUCAAUCGGGGCUGUAGGCCAUACUCUGAAAAUCCUCCCACGGGGUCACCGAGAGCGGCCUUCUUCCUGAUUCCAAAUAACUCUGUUUGUAUUAAACUUUUUGUCACCAAAAUUACUUCUCAGGUUACUGAAUGUCUGAAUCCUUCGGGCGCUAUGUGAGCUAAUUCUUCUGAAAUUGAAUGUAAAAGUGGAAUCCUGGGCAUGAUAUAUUGGGUGCUCACCAUAUGUUUAUUUGACAAAAUUAUGGGCUAAUUAAUGUCGUUAAAAAUUGUGUAGUUUCGUUCUUCUUAGAACUCCUUUUUUUAUCAUAAAGCAGCAGUUUACUGUUGUCAUAUUUAUUUCCUUCGUCUCGAUCAUUAUUAAGUUAUCCUACCUGUAUGACACCUUUGGAUCUAUUCAGAUCCAUUAGUAAUGGACAGAGUCCCUCAACUCUCCUAUCACUGCUCCAGAAAAUGUUAGCAGCGGCGGUCCGGAUUACACACCGGUGGCGGUAACCCGGACCGCCACUAAAACUGUGCCACUGGUGCUAACG
rnacentral:lncRNA from 1 species